UUAGAAAACAAAAAGUUCCAAUAAUAAGAAAGACUAAUAUCCUUUCAAUAACGAAUUCUGAGAAACACACCGAAAAAUCAGUGAGUGCACAAACUGACCACAUUUUCUUUUAAACCUUCUGUAACAGUCUGGGUAUACACCAGAAAACCAUCUUGUUUUGAGGCUGUAUUUAGGCCACAUGCAUUCUCUGGUUUUUGCAUUUAGAAAUCUCAUCACCAUUUACCAAGCAUCUUCACCUCUAUUUGUUGAAAGCAGAUACUACUAUUGCUUUAUAUAUAUAUACACACACACACACGCACAUAUAUUUUAAACAUUUCCAUCAUUCCUUUCCCUAGGAAUACAAAAGGCAUAUACGCAUUAUGCAUGCAGAGUUAGUCAGGAUAGUCAUUGGAUUUAGACCAGAAUGAAGAGGGAAAGGAUAGUUAUUUAAUUAAUAUUUCAAAAUAUAAUAAAGCAUAUAGAUAGUAAUUAAACUGAUCUGUUGCAGAAAACGGAGUAGGACUCCUCAGCUGGUUAUAUGAUGAGAUGCAUCAAAUACAAACUCAUGGCAUCCUCAGGAAGAAUGUUCUACUUAAUGGUUAACAGCAACACCGUUGAUUCAGGAUGUUGUGAGAUAUGUUCCAAACUGAAUCACGCAGCUAAGCCUCUGAGCAGCCUAACCUUCCUCGGAAAGCAGGGCCAAUGACGGAGAAGCCAUGUCGGGAGGGUGCUCAUAUUAUUUAGGGCAAAGAACUCUAGACAUGAUUUAAAUUAUCUACAAUCCCAACAUUGGAAACUUAAUCCUUGAGUUUCGAAAGGCUUAUAGGUCGGUGGUGAAAGGUACCCAUAAAACUGAAAGCACUUUUGGAAGGAAUAGGAGCUUGUAGCUAUUAUUACCCAGGACUUUGUUGUCAGAAGAGGGAGAUGGGAACACCACUCAUCAUCCACAGGUGAACUGUUUGACCUCAAAAAAUGUGGUUGCUCCUCUAGGGCCAAUAGUAGUAUCAACUACGUUCAACAAGUAGAGGUGAAGAUGUUUGGUAAAUGGUGAUGAGAUUUCUAAAUGUUCAUUAUUACUAGUUACUCUCAUCCUUAUCAGGAUUAGUGGGCAAGAGAGAGAAGUCCCUGGAGAGAGGGACAUUGUGGGUAGGGGUGCAGCAAUGUGAGCUGGCUCCAGCACGUCGCUGCUGGGGGAGCCUCCUCCCGAUGGGCAAAUGCACCCACUCAGGUAACUUCUGGCCCUUCAUUGGUCCCGGGGUGUUCUCGAGAGCGCCCGUUCCCAGGAGCUCACAGCUCCGAGAAGACCCGUGCUAUGGACAUGACCAUAAACAGACAGAUACCCCUUUUUAAAUUGUUCACAUCUUUGACUUUUUAUUUCCUUAUAUCGAAUGUUAUUUUUAAUUUUAACGAACUGACAUCUUGGAUAGACAUCUCAAUAAAAGGACUCAUAACAGGUUUUUAAAACCUCCAUUCUCCUUACCUAGUCGAGGGAGGCUUCAUGGGUGAAGAAGUUAAAAGACAUCAAAAAUUACCACCCCAUUUGGUUCAAAUCAUCUAGUACCUCUCCCCAGGAACAUCGUGAGCAAAUCUGCUUCCCCAACCUGACCUACUCCCUUUUCUCUUUUCAGUGUGAGCUGAAAGUCCUCCCCAAGGCAUUGUAUUUCCAUUCUUUAAUGUUAUGAUCAAACAAUUAUUUGCCAAUUGCCUCUGUUAACCUCGUGCAUGUGAUUUAUUUAUUUUUAAUUAGUACUAAUUUAAAAGAGAAUUUCUGGUGCAGGGCAUAUAGGCACUUCUUUUUACAACACUUUUAUCUUCCCUGGGCUUCCUUUUGCCCAGCCAUCGCUGUCAUCACUGUCCUUUCUGCGUAGGGCCCCUGUUCUUUUCUGGCUAAACCCACCCACGGGUUGCUAUGGAAACACAACACCCGACCCAGGAAGGCCUUUGUGAUAAUGGACUUCUUUGUCUAGAUCCAUGGGUAACCUUGCCAAUGAAUUAGAAGGCCUGUUCCUCCACCAGAGACACCCACACACAAAUAACACAUAUUCACAGACACACGAAGACCACCUGCCCCGUCUCACAAAAACAGACAACAAUCCCUGGGAUCUGUUAGCAUAUGCUUGUAUUGCUUUAUAAGAUGUCUAAACCAACUAGUAGAAUGCCAGCUAGUAGGUAACAUGUAUUGCCUCCUUAACUUUGGAAAAAUGCACCAUGUGGGUGUUCUCAUUUUCUUGUUCACUAAAUCUGCAACCAGGGGACAUUGUUAAGAUACUUACUCCCUGCUUGUCCCUCCUCCUUUCUUCCUUCCCAGCAGAAGUGGCUGCCAAGGAAGAAAACUUGUAUCUGCAUUUUUUCACUCCUCUACCAUUCUGGAAAAAUGCAAUUCUGACUAAAAUGUUUUAUUUGCAUCUCCUGGGCAGACAACUUUGGGGGAAAAUAAUAGGAAGCUAAUUUAAAAUAAAGUAGGAAUGUCCUGUUUUAUUCUUUGUUCAUAGCAUAAACACUUGAUUCCAUUCAAGUCAAAAAACACUGACCACUAUUUUUAUUUUAUUCUUUGGCACUUCAUAGGGAUUCAGGAUGGAGAACACUGUGAUUAAGUUCAUGUUAUUUAGUUGCACUAGCUGAAUGUUUGCAGGAAUUAGCUGACAAUGGCAAAAUCGGGUCAAACUUGGAUGAGGGGGAAGUGAUACGGGCGUUAAGAUUUCUCUCCAAAGAUCUUUUUACUACAUCAUUUACUUGCUACUCGCCAAGAAAAAUCACACACGGGGCCCGGUCUGUGCCACUAGGUGGCGAUCAUGUCCUAUUCAGACCUUGAAGUUCUUGGCCAGCUGCCACUCCCAAAGAGCAAAGAGCAACUUAGGGUGACGUUUUUCUAUUACAGAGACAAAAUAUCUCCCCCAGGAACUGGUAAUGAAUGAAGGGGAAUGGUGAGAUCCAGUCUGUACCAUUUAUUUCCCUAGAAAGCUCAGUAAUCAUCAGAUAAUUUCACUUGGCUUAAACUUCCUAUGCCAUUCCAGUGGUUUUUUUUCCAGCUGGUUAAAACUGGUCAGUCCACUUGUAAGAAGCUAAUUGUGUAAUUUCUGAAGGACUGUCGAUAUAACUUUGACGAUUUGUCUUUAUUUCAUUAUUUUACCCAUAUAAAAAAAUAAUGGCCACUUUUCACCUAAUGAGAAACAUAGAACAUUUGAGCUAUAAGCAGUUUGCAAUUUGGUCUACUACGAUGAAAUUAUUAUCUAUGAAAGUCAAGAUGUAAUUCAAUAUAUGUGUGAUUUUUAAUUUCUAAUUUAUUAUUGUUAGAUCUCAGCACUAAAAAAAUUACAUGUUAUUUAGAACCGUUUAAAUCUGCUCUUCCCCCAAAGAAAAGUAAUGUAAUCAUAAUUUAAUAGCAUUUGCAUCUCAUUAAACUUAUAAUAGGCCAUAAUCUAUUUUUCUUCUGCCUGUAAUUUUCUUAAGCCCCUUAUGAAACACAAGUGGGUUUUUAUACAUUUAACAAAUAGAUUACAAUUUCCCAAAUACUGUUGCAAUUAGAUAUUCAAAAAGCAAGCCAAUAAAGGAAUGAACUAGAGAAGUCUCCAUAUCAUUGUUCCAGUGCAAGCUUUAGAAUGAAAAUAAAAUUUUGUGGUCUAGAAGAUGUAUGCUCAAUUAAAUUCAAAUCAAAUACAAUGAACAAAUCCCUCUUCAAUGAUUUUAAUUGCCAAUGCUAUGAAAAAUACUGCCUUCAGUUCUCAUCAUUUAAUUGACCCUUCUUAGAUAUGUGAUUGAACUUGUAAAUGUCCUCCUAAAAGGGUCCUUCUCAAAAUUACUGUAAAAUUUCUGGUCUUGGCUCCAAGACUAUUGACACCUACUGACGAUUAACUUGGAAACCCUGAUGUGGUUCUUGGAUUCAGGACUGGAGCCUGUACCCGAGGCAAGUCCAUCAAAGCAGGCCAAUCCCCUGGACCAGUGAUAGUGAUUGGGUCAGAGGUGGACAUGUGACCUAAUCGGCUUGGAAUGCUGGGACAAAGGCUCUGGAUGACGCGCUAGGCCAAUGAGAUGCCCAGAAUCUCUGUGGUCGUUCCGUGAUUAUAAAAUAGUCAACACGUGGGAAAAAGGAGAACUCAGGGAAUCAAACAAAGAGCACAGAACCGGAUCCUUCUACGUGAUGAGUCUCCUCAUCACGUCCCUGCGGUUACGUGGACCAAACAAAAUGCCGUGUACUUUAAAUCAGUUUUCUUUCUUGAACCCUGAAGGCUCCUGGUGGAAUGUGUAUCACGGAAGAGUGAGUUCACAGGAUGCUGGACCUUCAGGAAACAUAUCUGAACCUGAAGGAGAGAUCUCACCAUCUCCUGAAGAUCUAGAAUUUGAGACAGAUGUAGUAACUGGAUGAAAUUUGGAAUUUUCUCCCUUAAGGAACUUGUGAGUAUAUUUUAUAUGAGGGAUGAUGUUGGCUAAAGGGGCUGAUCAUGAUACGGAUUGCUAGCUGUCUACCAAAACCCAGUGUCUUCUUAUUCCAGGCACACAGCAAGACUUCAUUUCUCAGCACCCCUGCAAAGAAGCAACUAAAUUCUCUUUAGUGGAAUGUAGUGGAGGGAUACAUGCCUUUCCAAGCAUGGCCCAUAAAGGCAUCUCACCUUGUCCCUCUAUCCCCUUCUUCACUACUGGCUGACUGAUGUGACAAGGCUUUGGAUGACCCCCAGAUGUCACAUAUUGAAGUCAGCAGAGGCACUACCAACCUGGGCCCUUAAGUGACUGUAUGGAGGAAGGUUGCCAUCGAGGUGAAUCCUCUGAUAAUGGCUUUUUGUUUUUUAUGCCACUGAAAUUUGGGUUUUAUUUUAAUUGCAUCUUAGCAUACUCUUAACACUUCAUAUUAAAAAGUAGCAAUAUC